rnacentral:rRNA from 1 species
UAGGGAGUAUUUGGCAAUGGGGGAAACCCUGACCGAGCAACGCCGCGUGUGCGAUGGAGUCCCUCAGGGACGUGAAGCACUGUGGGGGGCCGCCAAACGGGCGGGCAGGAAAUGGCCCGUCCCCGAGGAGCCCCCUAGAAAGCGACUGCUAACCACGUGCCAGCAGCAGCGGUAAUACGUGGGUCGCAAGCGUUAUCCGGAAUCAUUGGGCGUAAAGAGUGAGCAGGCGGUCCGGGAAGUCCGCGGUGAAAUGCGGGGGCUCAACCCCCGCAGGCCGCGGAUACUUCCGGUCUGGGGUGCGGGAGAGGCGGACGGAACUCCGCGUGUAGCGGUGAAAUGCACUGAUACGCGGAAGAACACCGGUGGCGAAGGCGGUCCGCCAGACCGAUACCGACGCUCA